rnacentral:misc_RNA from 1 species
UACGGAGGGUGCAAGCGUUGCUCGGAAUUAUUGGGCGUAAAGGGCAGGUAGGUGGUCUCGUUUGUCUGGGGUGAAAGCCUUGAGCUUAACUCAAGAAGUGCCUCGGAAACGGCGAGACUAGAGUACUGGAGAGGGUCGUGGAAUUCCCGGUGUAGCGGUGAAAUGCGUAGAGAUCGGGAGGAACACCAGCGGCGAAGGCGGCGACCUGGACAGUGACUGACACUCAACUGCGAAAGCGUGGGGAGCAAACAGG